rnacentral:rRNA from 1 species
CCUACGGGUGGCAGCAGUGAGGAAUAUUGGUCAAUGGACGCAAGGCUGAACCAGCCAUGCCGCGUGCAGGAAGACGGAUCUAUGAGUUGUAAACUUCUUUUGUAGGGGGAUAAAGGCAGAUACGCGUAUCUGUCUGAAUGUACCGUAUGAAUAAGCAUCGGCUAACUCCGUGCCAGCAGCCGCGGUAAUACGGAGGAUUCGAGCGUUAUCCGGAUUUAUUGGGUUUAAAGGGUGCGUAGGUGGUCGUAUAAGUUAGAGGUGAAAGCUCGUGGCUCAACUACAGAAUUGCCGGUGAUACUGUUCGGCUAGAGAGUAGUUGAGGUAGGCGGAAUGAAUGGUGUAGCGGUGAAAUGCAUAGAGAUCACACAGAACACCGAUUGCGAAGGCAGCUUACCAAGCCACAUCUGACGCUGAAGCACGAAAGCGUGGGGAUCAAACAGGAUUAGAUACCCCAGUAGUC